ACUCUGUUUUCAGUUGUUUUUUCACCAUUUAAAAACGAAUCUACGCCCUUCACAUUCUCACACAAACUCUUCUUCUUGUUUCAGUAGUUCUCUCUCUGUCUCAUUGGCAAAAACAAAGCAACGCAGUUUUCUCUUUUCGCUGGUGAAGGCAAGCAUGGCAUUGCAGCGGCGGCGUCGUCAUACAGGGAAUCUAGAGAGGUAUGAAGUUCUAAACAUUUCAUGGUCUACCACUACCAGUAUCAUUCAACUUUCUUCUUUCUCAUGCAACUUUGGAGCAGAGAUAAUGUGUUAAAAUGUACUAAGUUGAAGGAGUAUUUGUAGAAGCCACGUUUGAGUUGUAUACAAUGUACACGCGGUCGAGUUUCUACAAUUACGUCUAUAUUCUGUUGCUAUCUGUUGUAUUUUUAAUAGAAUUUGUUAUUCUCUGCAAUAAAAGAAUAUACGUUGACGUAAA